rnacentral:rRNA from 1 species
CCUACGGGUGGCAGCAGUGAGGAAUAUUGGUCAAUGGGCGCGAGCCUGAACCAGCCAAGUAGCGUGAAGGAUGACUGCCCUACGGGUUGUAAACUUCUUUUAUAAAGGAAUAAAGUGAGGCACGUGUGUCUUUUUGUAUGUACUUUAUGAAUAAGGAUCGGCUAACUCCGUGCCAGCAGCCGCGGUAAUACGGAGGAUCCGAGCGUUAUCCGGAUUUAUUGGGUUUAAAGGGAGCGUAGAUGGGUUGUUAAGUCAGUUGUGAAAGUUUGCGGCUUAACCCUAAAAUUGCAAUUAAUACUGGUGAUCUAGAGAGUAGAUGCGGUAGGCGGAAUGUAUGGUGUAGCGGUGAAAUGCUUAGAUAGCACGCAGAACUCCGAUUGCGAAGGCAGCCUACUAAUCU